rnacentral:rRNA from 1 species
UCCCUGAUGUUAGCGGCGGACGGGUGAGUAACACGUGGGUAACCUGCCUGUAAGACUGGGAUAACUCCGGGAAACCGGGGCUAAUACCGGAUGGUUGUUUGAACCGCAUGGUUCAGACAUAAAAGGUGGCUUCGGCUACCACUUACAGAUGGACCCGCGGCGCAUUAGCUAGUUGGUGAGGUAACGGCUCACCAAGGCGACGAUGCGUAGCCGACCUGAGAGGGUGAUCGGCCACACUGGGACUGAGACACGGCCCAGACUCCUACGGGAGGCAGCAGUAGGGAAUCUUCCGCAAUGGACGAAAGUCUGACGGAGCAACGCCGCGUGAGUGAUGAAGGUUUUCGGAUCGUAAAGCUCUGUUGUUAGGGAAGAACAAGUGCCGUUCAAAUAGGGCGGCACCUUGACGGUACCUAACCAGAAAGCCACGGCUAACUACGUGCCAGCAGCCGCGGUAAUACGUAGGUGGCAAGCGUUGUCCGGAAUUAUUGGGCGUAAAGGGCUCGCAGGCGGUUUCUUAAGUCUGAUGUGAAAGCCCCCGGCUCAACCGGGGAGGGUCAUUGGAAACUGGGGAACUUGAGUGCAGAAGAGGAGAGUGGAAUUCCACGUGUAGCGGUGAAAUGCGUAGAGAUGUGGAGGAACACCAGUGGCGAAGGCGACUCUCUGGUCUGUAACUGACGCUGAGGAGCGAAAGCGUGGGGAGCGAACAGGAUUAGAUACCCUGGUAGUCCACGCCGUAAACGAUGAGUGCUA